AUUGAACGCUGGCGGCAGGCCUAACACAUGCAAGUCGAGCGGAUGAAGGGAGCUUGCUCCUGGAUUCAGCGGCGGACGGGUGAGUAAUGCCUAGGAAUCUGCCUGGUAGUGGGGGAUAACGUCCGGAAACGGGCGCUAAUACCGCAUACGUCCUGAGGGAGAAAGUGGGGGAUCUUCGGACCUCACGCUAUCAGAUGAGCCUAGGUCGGAUUAGCUAGUUGGUGGGGUAAAGGCCUACCAAGGCGACGAUCCGUAACUGGUCUGAGAGGAUGAUCAGUCACACUAGAACUGAGACACGGUCCAGACUACUACGGGAGGCAGCAGUGGGGAAUAUUGGACAAUGGGCGAAAGCCUGAUCCAGCCAUGCCGCGUGUGUGAAGAAGGUCUUCGGAUUGUAAAGCACUUUAAGUUGGGAGGAAGGGCAGUAAGUUAAUACCUUGCUGUUUUGACGUUACCAACAGAAUAAGCACCGGCUAACUUCGUG
rnacentral:rRNA from 1 species